GGGAGCGUAGCUCAGUUGGAUAGAGCAUCUGCCUUCUAAGCAGAGGGUCCCAGGUUCGAAUCCUGGCGCUCCUACCA
rnacentral:tRNA from 1 species